rnacentral:rRNA from 1 species
UACAGAGGGUGCGAGCGUUAAUCGGAAUUACUGGGCGUAAAGCGCGCGUAGGCGGCUUUGCAAGUCGGGUGCGAAAUCCCCAAGCUUAACUUGGGAACUGCAUUCGAGACUGCAUUGCUAGAGUAUGGGAGAGGGAAGUGGAAUUUCCGGUGUAGCGGUGAAAUGCGUAGAUAUCGUAAGGAAGACCAGUGGCGAAGGCGGGUCUCUGGACAGUUCCUGACGCUGAGGAGCGAAAGCGUGGGGAGCGAACAGG